rnacentral:rRNA from 1 species
ACUAAGUUUCAACAACGGAUCUCUUGGCUCUCGCAUCGAUGAAGAACGCAGCGAAAUGCGAUAAGUAGUGUGAAUUGCAGAAUUCAGUGAAUCAUCGAAUCUUUGAACGCACCUUGCGCUCCUUGGUAUUCCUUGGAGCAUGCCUGUUUGAGUAUCAUGAAAU